rnacentral:rRNA from 1 species
GGUUAAGCGACUAAGCGUACACGGUGGAUGCCCUGGCAGUCAGAGGCGAUGAAGGACGUGCUAAUCUGCGAUAAGCGCCGGUAAGGUGAUAUGAACCGUUAUAACCGGCGAUUUCCGAAUGGGGAAACCCAGUGUGAUUCGUCACACUAUCAUUAACUGAAUCCAUAGGUUAAUGAGGCGAACCGGGGGAACUGAAACAUCUAAGUACCCCGAGGAAAAGAAAUCAACCGAGAUUCCCCCAGUAGCGGCGAGCGAACGGGGAGGAGCCCAGAGCCUGAAUCAGCAUGUGUGUUAGUGGAAGCGUCUGGAAAGGCGCGCGAUACAGGGUGACAGCCCCGUACACAAAAGCGCAUGUGCUGUGAGCUCGAUGAGUAGGGCGGGACACGUGGUAUCCUGUCUGAAUAUGGGGGGACCAUCCUCCAAGGCUAAAUACUCCUGACUGACCGAUAGUGAACCAGUACCGUGAGGGAAAGGCGAAAAGAACCCCGGCGAGGGGAGUGAAAAAGAACCUGAAACCGUGUACGUACAAGCAGUGGGAGCACAGGUUUACCUGUGUGACUGCGUACCUUUUGUAUAAUGGGUCAGCGACUUAUAUUCUGUAGCAAGGUUAACCGAAUAGGGGAGCCGGAGGGAAACCGAGUCUUAAUUGGGCGUUAAGUUGCAGGGUAUAGACCCGAAACCCGGUGAUCUAGCCAUGGGCAGGUUGAAGGUUGGGUAACACUAACUGGAGGACCGAACCGACUAAUGUUGAAAAAUUAGCGGAUGACCUGUGGCUGGGGGUGAAAGGCCAAUCAAACCGGGAGAUAGCUGGUUCUCCCCGAAAGCUAUUUAGGUAGCGCCUCGUGAAUUCAUCUCCGGGGGUAGAGCACUGUUUCGGCUAGGGGGCCAUCCCGGCUUACCAACCCGAUGCAAACUGCGAAUACCGGAGAAUGUUAUCACGGGAGACACACGGCGGGUGCUAACGUCCGUCGUGAAGAGGGAAACAACCCAGACCGCCAGCUAAGGUCCCAAAGUCAUGGUUAAGUGGGAAACGAUGUGGGAAGGCCCAGACAGCCAGGAUGUUGGCUUAGAAGCAGCCAUCAUUUAAAGAAAGCGUAAUAGCUCACUGGUCGAGUCGGCCUGCGCGGAAGAUGUAACGGGGCUAAACCAUGCACCGAAGCUGCGGCAGCGAACGUAUCACUUAAAGCGAUUCAGCGGGUUACGAUUGACGGAGCGAAGCGACGUCAAAGCGUAUACAAAGUCGAGUCGGUUUAAGGAUACGUUCGUUGGGUAGGGGAGCGUUCUGUAAGCCUGCGAAGGUGGCCUGUGAGGGUUGCUGGAGGUAUCAGAAGUGCGAAUGCUGACAUAAGUAACGAUAAAGCGGGUGAAAAGCCCGCUCGCCGGAAGACCAAGGGUUCCUGUCCAACGUUAAUCGGGGCAGGGUGAGUCGACCCCUAAGGCGAGGCCGAAAGGCGUAGUCGAUGGGAAACGGGUUAAUAUUCCCGUACUUGGUGUUACUGCGAAGGGGGGACGGAGAAGGCUAUGUUGGCCGGGCGACGGUUGUCCCGGUUUAAGCGUGUAGGUGUGUGUUCCAGGUAAAUCCGGUUCACUUUAACACUGAGGCGUGACGACGAGGCACUACGGUGCUGAAGCAACAAAUGCCCUGCUUCCAGGAAAAGCCUCUAAGCAUCAGGUAACACGAAAUCGUACCCCAAACCGACACAGGUGGUCAGGUAGAGAAUACCAAGGCGCUUGAGAGAACUCGGGUGAAGGAACUAGGCAAAAUGGUGCCGUAACUUCGGGAGAAGGCACGCUGACACGUAGGUGAAGUGAUUUACUCAUGGAGCUGAAGUCAGUCGAAGAUACCAGCUGGCUGCAACUGUUUAUUAAAAACACAGCACUGUGCAAACACGAAAGUGGACGUAUACGGUGUGACGCCUGCCCGGUGCCGGAAGGUUAAUUGAUGGGGUCAGCGCAAGCGAAGCUCCUGAUCGAAGCCCCGGUAAACGGCGGCCGUAACUAUAACGGUCCUAAGGUAGCGAAAUUCCUUGUCGGGUAAGUUCCGACCUGCACGAAUGGCGUAAUGAUGGCCAGGCUGUCUCCACCCGAGACUCAGUGAAAUUGAACUCGCUGUGAAGAUGCAGUGUACCCGCGGCAAGACGGAAAGACCCCGUGAACCUUUACUAUAGCUUGACACUGAACAUUGAGCCUUGAUGUGUAGGAUAGGUGGGAGGCUUUGAAGUGUGGACGCCAGUCUGCAUGGAGCCGACCUUGAAAUACCACCCUUUAAUGUUUGAUGUUCUAACGUGGACCCGUAAUCCGGGUUGCGGACAGUGUCUGGUGGGUAGUUUGACUGGGGCGGUCUCCUCCUAAAGAGUAACGGAGGAGCACGAAGGUUGGCUAAUCCUGGUCGGACAUCAGGAGGUUAGUGCAAUGGCAUAAGCCAGCUUGACUGCGAGCGUGACGGCGCGAGCAGGUGCGAAAGCAGGUCAUAGUGAUCCGGUGGUUCUGAAUGGAAGGGCCAUCGCUCAACGGAUAAAAGGUACUCCGGGGAUAACAGGCUGAUACCGCCCAAGAGUUCAUAUCGACGGCGGUGUUUGGCACCUCGAUGUCGGCUCAUCACAUCCUGGGGCUGAAGUAGGUCCCAAGGGUAUGGCUGUUCGCCAUUUAAAGUGGUACGCGAGCUGGGUUUAGAACGUCGUGAGACAGUUCGGUCCCUAUCUGCCGUGGGCGCUGGAGAACUGAGGGGGGCUGCUCCUAGUACGAGAGGACCGGAGUGGACGCAUCACUGGUGUUCGGGUUGUCAUGCCAAUGGCACUGCCCGGUAGCUAAAUGCGGAAGAGAUAAGUGCUGAAAGCAUCUAAGCACGAAACUUGCCCCGAGAUGAGUUCUCCCUGAGACUUAGAGUCUCCUGAAGGAACGUUGAAGACGACGACGUUGAUAGGCCGGGUGUGUAAGCGCAGCGAUGCGUUGAGCUAACCGGUACUAAUGAACCGUGAGGCUUAACCUU